UAGGGAAUCUUCGGCAAUGGACGAAAGUCUGACCGAGCAACGCCGCGUGAGUGAAGAAGGUUUUCGGAUCGUAAAGCUCUGUUGUAAGAGAAGAACAUUGAUGGGAGUGGAAAAUCCAUUAAUUGACGGUACCUUACCAGAAAGGGACGGCUAACUACGUGCCAGCAGCCGCGGUAAUACGUAGGUCCCGAGCGUUGUCCGGAUUUAUUGGGCGUAAAGCGAGCGCAGGCGGUUUUAUAAGUCUGAAGUUAAAGGCUGUGGCUCAACCAUAGUUUGCUUUGGAAACUGUAGAACUUGAGUGCAGAAGGGGAGAGUGGAAUUCCAGGUGUAGCGGUGAAAUGCGUAGAUAUAUGGAGGAACACCGGUGGCGAAAGCGGCUCUCUGGUCUGUAACUGACGCUGAGGCUCGAAAGCGUGGGGAGCAAACA
rnacentral:rRNA from 1 species